CAUGUAUUGGUUAAAAAAUAAAUAAAUAAAGGGGGAGGGAGAAGUUUUCAACGUCAUUUCAGGAUAACUAUUUCCUGGUAUAAAAAGACAUUAUUCUCAAACAAUAACUGUCUAAAAAAAAAAAAAAAUACAUCAUGCAAAGUUUUAAAAAGUUUCACUGAAUGUUUCAAAACUCUGGGAACAGAUUGUAUAGUAACCAUUUUGACCAGUUUUUGCCGAAGAAACACAAAACCUUGCAAGUCAACUCAAAGGCAGGCUUUGCGGCAAAGGCCUGCUGACCACAGCCCAGACUUUCUUCUUUCUUUUUCAUUUACACAUCCAUCCCCAUGGCUAGCAACAUUUGUUCAAUGAGUUACAGAAUUCCUGAGGUUAUUGGCGUCUACCUGUCUCCCUCUACUUUUAUUUUUUAGCAAAGAACUAUGUUUAGGGUGAUUACGAUUCAGAACUAUUUGAAGAGUAUGUUGAAUUAGGUAAUACUUAGCAGUCACUUUAAACCUUGUAAUUCAAAUCAAUGUUAUUACUCUCAUAAAGCAAUUAAUUCAUUGUUUCUUUUUGGAGAAACUUGUAACUUUCUUAAAGGAGUAUAUACAAACUUUUUGUGGACAGGACAAGAUAUGCUCCCUCAACUCUAUUUCCUCAACAAAAACGGACUAAAAUUCUUUUUUUUCCAUUAAAUUUCAGUAUUCUAAUACAAACAAUAGAAAUAUUCCUUUUGUUUUUACUCGGUCUACAACAGUUUAAUAAACUUUUAAUGUCGAAAGGGAUUUUAGAGAACAUCGAGUCUAACCUCUUCAUUUAAUGUGUGAGGAAAUUGCGUCUCACAGAAGACAGAGCUAGUGCCUAAAGGUAUAGCAGAUUAGAGUCGGAGUCCAAAAUCAAAUCAAAACAGAACUUCUGGUCUUCUGAUUUCUUCAUCUGUAACAUACUGGCUUGAAUGUAUUUCUUGUAUUCCGCAUAACCUGUUUUGUCACUGUGGGUUUAGGAGAAAACAGACACGGGAUGGGAACGUGAAGCCAAUGCCAGUUUGGCACUAGCAUCUUCAUGCAGAAUGGAAUUCGUGCACAAAGACUUUCACAAGAAUGGACAAAAGAAUUCUGUAAAGUGUCAAGGUCGGGACUGGAAAAAACCACUGCUUGCAAGCCCAGAAUCUGAAACCAGCUUUAUAAUAGACUUUAACAUAUGAUGACAUGGAAUACCCGAAAGCCCCCAAAGGCAGAAGUCUACAGUCUUUCCUUCUGACUUCUAAAAGCGCCUCAUGGAACAGUCCCCCAAGUUUCACUGGAAUGAGUUUCAGGUGAAUGGUGUACAUGGAACGCCUACACGUGCAGGUCUGCAAUAGCCAGUAACAUGUUUGAGGCCUAACUGUAAGGUACCUGACCACCUGCAGUGCAUUUGUUUGCUAACCAUGUCUAACGCACUCCCAUUUUUGUGCCUUGGUUCUACUCAUUUCUUCUACCAAAGAUGUAUCCUUUGCCUCACCACAGUGCUCUUAGCCCAUCCAAAUUUUCAUUCACUUGGAACUGUUCAACACUGCAUCCUGAAGUUAUAGUCUGCCUGCCUGAGGAAGUAAUUAAGAUUGCACAUAAUUACAGGCAUACCUCAUUUUACUGCAUUUCACAGAUAUUGCGGGGAUUGUGUUUUGUUUUUUAGAAAUUGAAGUUUUGUGGCAAUCCUGUGUCGAACCAAUCAGUGCCAUUUUUCCGGCAGCAUUGGCUCACUUUGUGUGUGUGUCACACGUUAGUAAUUCUUGCAGUAUUUUAAACUCUUUCCUUAUGAUGAUGAUCAGUGAUUACAGACUCAUUGAAAGCUCAGAUGAUGGUUAGCAUUUUUUAGCAAUAAAGUAUUUUUUAAAUUAAAAUAUGUCAAUUGGGGUGUUUUUUUCCUAGAUGUAAUGCUAUUGCACACUUAAUAGACUACAGUAUAGACAUGACUUUUAUAUGCACUUUUUGGUAAAACAAAAAAUUGAUUUGACUCCCUUUACUGUGAUACUCACUUUAUCCCAGUGAUCUGAAACCAAACCCACAAUAUAUGAGGUACGCCUGUAUCUGCUAAUAAUAUUAUAGAUUUAUGAAUUUGGUAUGGAGUUGCUGUAUAUGAGCUCUAAGAUCCUAUAUAGAUCUAAAAUGUUUUAUAAUUCUAUAAUCCCCUUAACAUAUGUAAUGUGGGAAAAUGUAGAUGAUUUUUAGGAAAGAUAGAAAAAAUAUUUCAGAUGUAAAUGCUGUAUUUGGGUUUAUAAUUGAUUAAUGUUACUUAUAAAUUAUGCUGUAUAUUUAGACAUUAUAUGUUAAUUUUAAAAAUUUACAGCUUGUGUCCAUAAAUGAAUUUUGGGAAUAUACUGCCAAGGGAAAUGUUUUUAAAAUAUUUAUUUUGUAACACUACUUGAAACAUUUUGCAGAGUGGAAAAUGUUGAAGGAGUAUUAGUUCAGUUUUUUAUGUUCACUAUUUCAAGGCUGUUAUCAUAGUACUUCAAUGAGAAAUAACCAAAAGUAACACUAUCCAUUAAAAUGAGUUUGGCGAAUUUCAUCCCUAAAUCAACCCAGAUAAAAAGAGGGGCAAAGUAAUAUUCUCAAGAUUACACUUCUAUAGCUUAUUAACUGGGAACAAAUGUUAUACCCUCAUUUAUACAGAACACUUUUGGCAGAUUCGCUUUUAGUUUUUUUAGUGUUUAUUUAUUUUUGAGAGAAAGCAUGCACACGAUCAAGCAGGAGAGGGGCAGAGAGAGAGGGAGAUAGAGAGUCCCGAGCAAGCUCUGUGCUGUCAGUGCAGAGCCCAAGGAGGGGACGAGGGGCUCAAACUCAGGAACAGUGAGAUCAUGAUCAGAGCUGAAACCAAGAGUUGGACACUUAACUGACUGAGCCACCCAGGAACCCCUUAAAAAAAUUUUUUUUUUACCAUUUAUUUUUGAGACAGAGUGUGGGUGCACACAUGUGUGUGUAAGUGGGGGAGGGGCAGAGAGAGAGGGAGAGAAUAAAAUUUGCUUUUAAAGAAAUAAUACCUUGGGGCGCCUGGGUGGCUCAGUAGGUUAAGUAUCCCACUUCAGCUUAGGUCAUGAUCUCCUGGUUCAUAAGUUCGAGCCCCUGCAUCAGGCUCCUCUGCACUGAGAAGGCAGAGCCUGCUUGGGAUAUUCUCUCUCUCUCUGCCCCUGCCCCACUCACACACUCUUUCUCUCAAAAUAAAUAGACUUUUAAAAAGAUAAAUAAUAAUUUGUACAUAAAUCACAUUCUAUAAAACAGGGCACUGAAGUAAUUACAGGCAAAACAUUUCAAGAAUCUAAAUUAUCCUUUAAAUAUUUGCAUGGAAAGUGAUAAAAUUCCUACCAGAUAAAUUGGAAGCAUUUAUUUACAAGCUAAAGUUUUAAAACAACUAAAACAAGUAAAAAGUAAACUAUUACAUAAUUUUUUACUUUUUUAGAUCAUUAAUCUCUUUGAGAACCUGUUGGAAGUUGUAGAAUUUUUCCCUCAGAAAAAUGUACAUACUAUAUAGCCUGUCUAUGGAUUGAGUAUUCAUUCAAAAUAUGUGAAUCAAAUGCCUGCUGUCCCAGGGACCCAGAAGUAAAUAGAGGCACAGGCUAUUUUUUGUUCAUGGAGCUUAUAUCAUAAAGACAGAACAUUUGAAGCCAAUAAUACAUAAGCAAGAGAAUCCCAGGUUUUGAUAUAUGCUAUAAUGAGAUUUCAGUUAAGAGAACCCCUAAUACAGGACAAAGGAAAAACCUCAAAUCUGCACUAUUUGUGUUUUGUUUUUGUUUUUUUUUAAUUUUAAGUUUUUUAUUUUGAGAGAGAGAGCAAGCAGGGUAAGGACAGAGUGUGAAGAGAGAGAGAAUCCCAAGCAAACUCCUCACUGUCAGCACAGAGCCUGAUGCAGGGCUCAAACUCACAAACCGUGAGAUCAUGACCUAAGCUGAAACCAAGAGUCGGCGCUUAACUGACUGAGCCACCCAGGUGCCCCUGUGGUAAUUUUUUUUUAAAAGAAUCCAUUUUAUAUCUCCUAAGAAAAGGUCAUUAUGUAACAAAAACUUUGAAAACAUGUAUUAAAUCAAAUACUGCAAAUAGCAUAAUAGGUAAGGUAAGUGUAUGAACUUUUAAAACCUGAGAUAAUGGACUUGGUGACAUAAACCUAACAACGUUGUAGACAUCAUGAUAUAAUUGGUUAGUAUAGGUCACAAAGCAAUUUCACAAUUCAUUUGGCUUUCAGAAAAUGGGGGGAACCUCCUAAAAUACAAACAUAUUCUGUCAUAUCCUGUUGCUUGCAGUGCUAGGGGCUGGGCUGUUUUAAAUGGUGGAAAAUGCACCAAGACUAGGGGUGCAUGGGUGGCUCAGUUGGUUAGGCUUCCGACUUUGGCUCAGGUCAUGAUCUCACAGCUUGUGGGUUCAAGCCCCGCAUCGGGCUUUGUGCUGACAGCUCAGAGCCUGGAGCCUGCUUCGGAUUUAGUGUCUCCCUCUCUCUCUGCCCCUCCCCAACUUGUGCUUGCGCGCUCUCUCUCUCUCAAAAAUAAACAUUUAAAAAAAAUGCACCAAGACUAAAGAUGAUGAAAGGAGAAAGACAAAUUUAUAAAAUACCAGCUAGUUGAAAUUAACAAAUUAGUGUUUAUUUCUGGAAACUUUUUUUUUUAAAUGUUUCUUCUAUUUUUCUUUGAAUUCUCCCUCCUGUCUUAUAAGCAGGGCAUGCUUUGUUUAUAAAGAUGUGUAGUGGGCUUAAAAAUGGAGAGUUUUCUAAAAUGUCCUUUACAGUUAGCGUGUUAAAAUUUAUUUUUAUUGUGCUAUUUGCAGCUUAUGUAGUAACCACAAUUAAAAUUUAAGUGUGUAAA